UACGGAGGGUGCAAGCGUUAUCCGGAUUUAUUGGGUUUAAAGGGUCCGUAGGCGGAUCUGUAAGUCAGUGGUGAAAUCUCACAGCUUAACUGUGAAACUGCCAUUGAUACUGCAGGUCUUGAGUGUUAUUGAAGUAGCUGGAAUAAGUAGUGUAGCGGUGAAAUGCAUAGAUAUUACUUAGAACACCAAUUGCGAAGGCAGGUUACUAAGCAACAACUGACGCUGAUGGACGAAAGCGUGGGUAGCAAACAGG
rnacentral:rRNA from 1 species